rnacentral:rRNA from 1 species
CCUACGGGAGGCAGCAGUGGGGGAUAUUGCACAAUGGGGGGAACCCUGAUGCAGCGACGCCGCGUGGGUGAAGGAGUGCUUCGGCAUGUAAAGCCCUAUCGGCAGGGAAGAAGAAAGACGGUACCUGACUAAGAAGCCCCGGCUAACUACGUGCCAGCAGCCGCGGUAAUACGUAGGGGGCGAGCGUUAUACGGAUGCACUGGGUGGAAAGGGAGCGUAGACGGCCAAGCAAGCCAGGGGUGAAAGCCCGGGGCACAACCCCGGGACUGUCCUUGGAACUGGAUGGCUGGAGUGCGGGAGGGGCAGGCGGAAUUCCUGGUGUAGCGGUGAAAUGCGUAGAUAUCAGGAGGAACACCGGCGGCGAAGGCGGCCUGCUGGACCGCGACUGACGUUGAGGCUCGAAAGCGUGGGGAGCGAACAGGAUUAGAUACCCCAGUAGUC